ACCAGACAGCCUGGUGGUCCUCAUCAUCGAGGAGCCCCCUGAGUUUGCAGAGCUGAUGGAGGACCACCCAGCUUGGCCCUGUCCCCGCAUGCCACCCUUGGACCCAGAGCCCUCCGUUGACCGUGGAGGUCCCCGAGGAAGCUGGGAGGGUGGCUCCACCCCUCGGCCCUCUCCCUCUGGAAGCUCCUCCCUCUGUGCAGUGUCUAUCAGGUGAGAGCCUCACCUCUGCCCCAGGAAACCCUGCGUCUGGAGCUUCCUCUUCAAAUGCCCCCACCUGCCCUGUCCAGCACACCUCCAAGGAGCAGGCUGGCCCUCUGCUCCCCCAGCCCCUCGGCACAAGGCUGUGCUAGAAAUCUGGAAGACUCUGGAGCUGUGCAGAAAGCAAGGGCCAACCUCAGCCUGGGUGCACGGGCCCGCUGCACCCGCCAGCCUGCUUGGCCCACGCAUGCUGACUAUGUCUGCUGAACUCCAGGGGGGAGGUCCUCAUCCGCUGGCCCCUCUGCAGGCUGCACCUCUGCCCUGGAGCCACAGCCACUGCCUCUCCCACCAGCUCAGGCCCAAGGAGGGCCUGGCACCAGACGGCUAGCUUGAGCCACAGCGCGGACCCCUUGUGACGACAGCCUCUCCCAGGACCAUACUCAGGACAGGGGCACAUGGGGACUGUCUGUACUUCACACUGAAUUUUCUG